rnacentral:rRNA from 1 species
UACGGAGGGGGCUAGCGUUGUUCGGAAUUACUGGGCGUAAAGCGCGCGUAGGCGGAUCUGCAAGUCGGGGGUGAAAUCCCGAGGUUCAACCUCGGAACUGCCUUCGAUACUGCGGGUCUCGAGUCCGGGAGAGGUGAGUGGAAUUCCUAGUGUAGAGGUGAAAUUCGUAGAUAUUAGGAAGAACACCAGUGGCGAAGGCGGCUCACUGGCCCGGUACUGACGCUGAGGCGCGAAAGCGUGGGGAGCAAACAGG